AGAUUGGUGGUGGAGUGGGUAACAUUGGUGCCUUACAUGCAUUCAGUCAAGUGUUCGAAUCAAGCUCGAUCUC
rnacentral:tRNA from 1 species